GAGUAGUUUUGGGCCCGUGUUUGCCGGGAGAUUCCCCGUCCUUGUGCGGGUGACUACCGGGGCCGUGUYCCGUCAUUUGUGUGGGUUAUGGUGGUGUUGCCCUUAAAGGGCUGGGGGGUGGGACCCGACCUACGGGAAGUGGUGSUUUGGACMASGGUWAAYUGSGGGGGWMMMCUUCGGGGGGCGAGGUGGGGCCUAAUAAGGGCUGGGGGGGUUUCUUGGGUUSAUGGCMAGGUYAAAKKGUUGGGGGUAACMAGGGAACCUUGGUUCCGGUGGUGGUUUUUGGAUGCUGCUCACGAUAUAGUGUCGUGGCCCUUAUGGUUGCCUCGACCCGACCCUCGAGAUAUGCUCUCCGAAUUUGAGAAAACCCGUGAACAGGUGUUGCCUCUACCUCUCCACAGUUAGUGGUAGGAUUACGCAACAUUCUGCGCCGAUCCUCAAUCAAGUAGGAUGAGCUUGGCCCGAUAAAUCGUGACAGCCGGCUCGGAAGUUUGCCUCAGCCUAUCCACGGAAGUGGACGGGCGGACAACGACCGUAGCUGGACGUC
rnacentral:misc_RNA from 1 species